AACUGUGUGCUAUGUGUGACUGAUGAUGUGAAGAAGAGACGAAACCCUAGGCGUCCCGCAAAGGGCAAAAUGUAGCAGCGAGUGGAGAAGAGUGGAGAAGAGCGGAGGUGAACCCUAGGCGUUGACGGAACUGUGCACCGGAACUGUGUGCUAUGUGUGAGUUAGUGAACAGACGAAGAGCUAGUGAUGAUGGGACGAAAAACAGAGAAGGCAGUGUUCUGAAAGAAAUUGCUACUGAGAGGGUCGAAGAAGAGAGAAGGAGUGUGGAGGGAAAUGAAAGAGAUAUUGUAUCGUAGUUUAAAAUCUACGUCAUAACAAAUUAGAGAUAGGUUUAAAUUAUUUACAAGUUUGCCACCGCAUCUCAUAUUAUAACUGAUUUACAAAACUACGUUAUAAUAUGUCUUAAACUUAUUUACGAAUUUGCCACCACAUCUCUAUUAUAACGGAUUUACAAAACUAC
rnacentral:lncRNA from 1 species